rnacentral:rRNA from 1 species
UACGUAGGGGGCUAGCGUUGUCCGGAAUCAUUGGGCGUAAAGAGCGUGUAGGCGGCCCGGUAAGUCCGCUGUAAAAGUCAAAGGCUCAACCUUUGAAUGUCAGUGGAUACUGCCGGGCUAGAGUCCGGAAGAGGCGAGUGGAACUCCUGGUGUAGCGGUGGAAUGCGCAGAUAUCAGGAAGAACACCAACGGCGAAGGCAGCUCGCUGGGACGGUACUGACGCUCAGACGCGAAAGCGUGGGGAGCGAACAGG